AGCGGCGGACGGGUGAGUAACACGUGGGUAACCUACCUAUAAGACUGGGACAACUUCGGGAAACCGGAGCUAAUACCGGAUAAUAUGUUGAACCGCAUGGUUCAAUAGUGAAAGAUGGUUUUGCUAUCACUUAUAGAUGGACCCGCGCCGUAUUAGCUAGUUGGUGAGGUAACGGCUCACCAAGGCAACGAUACGUAGCCGACCUGAGAGGGUGAUCGGCCACACUGGAACUGAGACACGGUCCAGACUCCUACGGGAGGCAGCAGUAGGGAAUCUUCCGCAAUGGGCGAAAGCCUGACGGAGCAACGCCGCGUGAGUGAUGAAGGUCUUAGGAUCGUAAAACUCUGUUAUUAGGGAAGAACAAACGUGUAAGUAACUGUGCACGUCUUGACGGUACCUAAUCAGAAAGCCACGGCUAACUACGUGCCAGCAGCCGCGGUAAUACGUAGGUGGCAAGCGUUAUCCGGAAUUAUUGGGCGUAAAGCGCGCGUAGGCGGUUUUUUAAGUCUGAUGUGAAAGCCCACGGCUCAACCGUGGAGGGUCAUUGGAAACUGGAAAACUUGAGUGCAGAAGAGGAAAGUGGAAUUCCAUGUGUAGCGGUGAAAUGCGCAGAGAUAUGGAGGAACACCAGUGGCGAAGGCGACUUUCUGGUCUGUAACUGACGCUGAUGUGCGAAAGCGUGGGGAUCAAACAGGAUUAGAUACCCUGGUAGUCCACGCCGUAAACGAUGAGUGCUAAGUGUUAGGGGGUUUCCGCCCCUUAGUGCUGCAGCUAACGCAUUAAGCACUCCGCCUGGGGAGUACGACCGCCAAGGUUG
rnacentral:rRNA from 1 species